rnacentral:rRNA from 1 species
AUACGUAGGGGGCGAGCGUUGUCCGGAAUGAUUGGGCGUAAAGGGCGCGUAGGCGGCGCGGUAAGUCUGGAGUGAAAGUCCUGCUUUCAAGGGGGGAAUUGCUUUGGAUACUGCCGCGCUUGAGUGCAGGAGAGGUUAUCGGAAUUCACGGUGUAGCGGUGAAAUGCGUAGAGAUCGGGAGGAACACCAGUGGCGAAGGCGGGUAACUGGACUGCAACUGACGCUGAGGCGCGAAAGUGUGGGGAGCAAACAGGAUUAGAUACCCUGGUAGUCCACACUGUAAACGAUGAAUGCUAGGUGUAAGAGGUAUCGACCCCUUUUGUGCCGGAGUCAACACAAUAAGCAUUCCGCCUGGGGAGUACGGCCGCAAGGUUGAAACUCAAAGGAAUUGACGGGG